CAGUAGGGGCUGGCAAACUCCGGCCCUCCAGCUGUUGAGGAACUACAAAUCCCAUGAGGCAUCGCAAGAUUCUCACAUCCACAGACAUGAUUACCAGAGACAGAUACAUUUUAAAUUACCUGCAAAAG